GACGAACGCUGGCGGCGUGCCUAAUACAUGCGAGUCGAGCGAAGUUUUUCUGGUGCUUGCACCGGAAAAACUUAGCGGCGAACGGGUGAGUAACACGUAAAGAACCUGCCUCAUAGACUGGGACAACUAUUGGAAACGAUAGCUAAUACCGGAUAAUAGCAUUAACUGCAUGGUUGAUGUUUAAAAGUUGGUUUUGCUAACACUAUGAGAUGGCUUUGCGGUGCAUUAGCUAGUUGGUGGGGUAAAGGCCUACCAAGGCGACGAUGCAUAGCCGACCUGAGAGGGUGAUCGGCCACACUGGGACUGAGACACGGCCCAGACUCCUACGGGAGGCAGCAGUAGGGAAUCUUCCGCAAUGGGCGAAAGCCUGACGGAGCAACGCCGCGUGAGUGAAGAAGGAUUUCGGUUCGUAAAGCUCUGUUGUUAGGGAAGAAUGAUUGUGUAGUAACUAUACACAGUAGAGACGGUACCUAACCAGAAAGCCACGGCUAACUACGUG
rnacentral:rRNA from 1 species